rnacentral:rRNA from 1 species
AUUGAACGCUGGCGGCAUGCCUUACACAUGCAAGUCGAACGGCAGCACGGGAGCAAUCCUGGUGGCGAGUGGCGAACGGGUGAGUAAUACAUCGGAACGUGCCCAGUCGUGGGGGAUAACGCAGCGAAAGCUGCGCUAAUACCGCAUACGAUCUGUGGAUGAAAGCGGGGGACCGUAAGGCCUCGCGCGAUUGGAGCGGC